GUAGUGGGCCUGAAUUAUAGUGAAGGACUUAGUUGAGAAUCAUAUUGAAUGUAAAGUUAAUAUUAAAGGCUGCUACAGCUGUAGGCACACUUAUCCUAUUUAUGUGUUGUUUUAUUUAUUAAAUAAUUUAUAUUCGUUUGAGAUGGCGAAUUAGAAUAUAAGGGAAAAAAAUAGUACCGUUGAUCAAACGUACUUAUAUCGGAUUAAAGCGAUACAACUUUACAAAUAAAUUGUUAAGCUGCUCC
rnacentral:lncRNA from 1 species